rnacentral:lncRNA from 1 species
CAGACACAACAGCCGGCGGAUCCCCCGUCCUCGAUGACGGUACAAACGAUGGAGGGCGGGAGGACGGGGCUGCGGGCGGGGCUGCCUCCUCAAGCCACGCUCACCGACCCUCUGGACUGCCCUGCCGCGGGAGAGGCGGAGCCAAACAGAGGAGGUCCCGGAGGUUUAGCCCGAGAAGCCUCUGCGGAUCCCGGCCAUGAACCUCUGGUAAAUUCCUGGAAGGAAGGAGGAGCAGACUCGCCUGUUGCUCUCGGUGCUUCUGUUGGUGCCUCUUUAUCGAGCUGCUCUUCCGGGAGAGACACGGCACGGCCCAAGUCCCUGGAUCCGAGAGCCUGCCAAGAAGGCGUUUCGAAGCACUUGCACCCAAGCCUCACGCAAGCCUGGCUUGGUGGCCCUUCCCCAAACGACGACACAGCUUGUUGUUCUUCUCUCUCAGAAAUGGCAGCAGAGGAGAAGCCCCUGCAAGGGCUGCUGAAGUGCCUGAAGGAAUUGAUCGUCCAUCAGCCCCCUCACACAUCCCGCUGGAACCCCAGCAGCAGCUGGCAGCCAGCCCUGCGGCAGAAGAUGAGGGAAGGGGCCUGUGGGUCUCCCCUUGGCCAAGUUAAAAUUGAAGCCGUGGAUGAGGAGCUGCCUGCCCCUAGCCUGGAAAACACUGCUGCACAAGGAGGAUCCAGCCCUCCGGUUGCUCCCUCCUGUCGUGUUUCCACCUGCCAGACUGAAGGAGGCAGGAGAAGGAGCCGGUCAGAGGCAAAGGACAGGAACAUCUUUGCAGUGGUUAAAAUGGAAGAACCAUCUGAGGACCUUGUGCGAGACCUGAAGGAAGUCCCCGAGGAGGAGCGAGACCUGACACCUAGCCUCCCCGAAGGAUCCCUCUCUCAAAGCAGCCCAGAGACAGGGAUGGACCUGGGGAUGUGGGUCCCAUAUUCGGAGGCCUGGAGCCCAGUGACCAGUCCUCUCCAUGGGCUCCUGAACUGCCUGAAGGACAUCCCUGACCCAAGGCCUCAGGCCUCCCAAGCUGUGGCUGGAAAAAGAGGAGGAGGAGGAAAAGAGCGAAGGAAAGGAGGAAAGAGAGGAAGAUUAGGUACGCCCUCUGGGUGGUGGGCGAGGGUGGGAGAGACUUGGGAGGGGGCAGGGAGCCUCUCAAGCCUUAGAAAUGGGCCUGACACCCAUUUUUAA